AUUGAACGCUGGCGGCAUGCUUUACACAUGCAAGUCGAACGGCAGCGCGGGCUUCGGCCUGGCGGCGAGUGGCGAACGGGUGAGUAAUAUAUCGGAACGUACCCAAGAGUGGGGGAUAACGUAGCGAAAGUUACGCUAAUACCGCAUACGAUCUAAGGAUGAAAGCAGGGGACCGCAAGGCCUUGUGCUCCUGGAGCGGCCGAUAUCUGAUUAGCUAGUUGGUGAGGUAAAGGCUCACCAAGGCAACGAUCAGUAGCUGGUCUGAGAGGACGACCAGCCACACUGGAACUGAGACACGGUCCAGACUCCUACGGGAGGCAGCAGUGGGGAAUUUUGGACAAUGGGGGCAACCCUGAUCCAGCAAUGCCGCGUGAGUGAAGAAGGCCUUCGGGUUGUAAAGCUCUUUUGUCAGGGAAGAAAAGGGAGUGGCUAAUAUCCAUUCCUGCUGACGGUACCUGAAGAAUAAGCACCGGCUAACUACGUGCCAGCCGCCGCAGUAACAC
rnacentral:rRNA from 1 species